CACUUAGUAUGCUGCAUUUACCUAAUGCCUGUACCCUUAUUGUACCUAGGAAGCAAUUAACUUGCUUUUGAUUUUACAGGCUCAUAGGUGGAAGGGACUUGCCUUGUCACAGAUGAGACUUUAGACUGUGGACUUUUGAGUUAAUGUUGAAAUGAGUUAAGACUUUAGGGGACUGUUGUGAAGGCAUGAUUGUGUUUUGAAAUGUGAGGACAUGAGAUUUGGGAGGAGUCAGGGGCAGAAUGAUGUGGUUUGGUUGUGUCUCCACCCAAAUCUCAUUUUGAAUUUCCACAUGUUGUGGGCGGGACCCAGUGGGAGGUAAUUGAAUCAUGGGGGCAGGUCUUUCCCAUGCUGUUCUUGUGACAGCGAUCUCUCAUGAGAUCUAACAGGGAGUUUCCCUGCACAAGCUCUCUCUUUGCCUGCUGCCAUCUGUGUAAGAUGAGACUUGCUCCUCCUUGCCACCUACCAUGAUUGUGAGGCUUCUUCAGCCAUGUGGAACAACGACCAUGGAAAUGACUGGCUCAAAGCAGGGACUUGAUGGAGCCAACAUUGACAAGUGGAAUUUCAAAGCUCUGCUGAGAAGUACGUGGAAGUGAUAACACAACACCCUAAUAUUUCCAACUGUAAGUGUCUAAAGUAGCCCCAGAGAAGGGACUUCUAGUUCCAGCAUCCAAAGCUGUGGCCAGACCAGAAGGUGAUGACGUCCUGGGUGUGCAGAGCAAGCUAAGGAACCCAAGGCAUUGGCUCUGACUCGUGGGGACUCACCCAACUGGAUGGUCAAACAGAUUAUACAGUCGUAACGGUAAUAAUGCUAUAAUUAAAGAAAAAAUAAAUAAACAGUAUAAAGUCCA
rnacentral:lncRNA from 13 species